rnacentral:rRNA from 1 species
UACGUAGGGGGCAAGCGUUGUCCGGAUUUAUUGGGCGUAAAGGGCGCGUAGGCGGCCUGGCAAGUGGAAGGUGAAAUCCCUCGGCUUAACCGAGGAACUGCCCUCCAAACUGCUUGGCUUGAGUCCGGGAGAGGUGAGUGGAAUUCCCAGUGUAGCGGUGAAAUGCGUAGAUAUUGGGAGGAACACCAGUGGCGAAGGCGGCUCACUGGACCGGAACUGACGCUGAGGCGCGAAAGCGUGGGGAGCAAACGGG